rnacentral:rRNA from 1 species
AGGUUAAGUUAAUAAGGGCGCACGGUGGGAUGCCUUGGCACUAGGAGCCGACGAAGGACGUGACAAACGACGAUAUGCCUUGGGUAGCUGUAAGUAAGCGAUGAUCCAGGGAUUUCCGAAUGGGGGAACCCAACAGGUAAUACCUGUUACCUACAUCUGUUAAGGAUGUGAGGAGGAAGACGCAGUGAACUGAAACAUCUAAGUAGCUGCAGGAAGAGAAAGCAAAAGCGAUUGCCUUAGUAGCGGCGAGCGAAACGGCAGAAGGGCAAACCGAAGAGUUUACUCUUCGGGGUUGUAGGACUGCAAUGUGGACUCAAAGAUUAUAGAAGAAUGAUUUGGGAAGAUCAGCCAAAGAGAGUAAUAGCCUCGUAUUUAAAAUAGUCUUUGUACUUAGCAGUAUCCUGAGUACGGCGGGACACGUGAAAUCCCGUCGGAAUCUGGGAGGACCAUCUCCCAACCCUAAAUACUCCCUAGUGACCGAUAGUGAACCAGUACCGUGAGGGAAAGGUGAAAAGCACCCCGGGGGGGGAGUGAAAUAGAACCUGAAACCGUGUGCCUACAACAAGUUCGAGCCCGUUAAUGGGUGAGAGCGUGCCUUUUGUAGAAUGAACCGGCGAGUUACGUUAUGAUGCGAGGUUAAGUUGAAGAGACGGAGCCGUAGGGAAACCGAGUCUGAAUAGGGCGCCUUAGUAUCAUGACGUAGACCCGAAACCAUGUGACCUACCCAUGAGCAGGUUGAAGGUGCGGUAAGACGCACUGGAGGACCGAACCAGGGCACGUUGAAAAGUGCUUGGAUGACUUGUGGGUAGCGGAGAAAUUCCAAACGAACUUGGAGAUAGCUGGUUCUCUCCGAAAUAGCUUUAGGGCUAGCGUCGACAUUAGAGAUUCUUGGAGGUAGAGCACUGUUUGGGUGAGGGGUCCAUCCCGGAUUACCAAUCUCAGAUAAACUCCGAAUGCCAAUGAAUUAUGGUCGGCAGUCAGACUGCGAGUGCUAAGAUCCGUAGUCGAAAGGGAAACAGCCCAGACCACCAGCUAAGGUCCCAAAAUAAUUGUUAAGUGGAAAAGGAUGUGGGGUUGCACAGACAACUAGGAUGUUAGCUUAGAAGCAGCUAUUCAUUCAAAGAGUGCGUAAUAGCUCACUAGUCGAGUGACCCUGCGCCGAAAAUGUACCGGGGCUAAAACAAUUUACCGAAGCUGUGGAUACCUUUAUAGGUAUGGUAGGAGAGCGUUCUAUGUGUGAUGAAGGUAUACCGUGAGGAGUGCUGGAACGCAUAGAAGUGAGAAUGCCGGUAUGAGUAGCGAAAGACAGGUGAGAAUCCUGUCCACCGUAAGACUAAGGUUUCCAGGGGAAGGCUCGUCCGCCCUGGGUUAGUCGGGACCUAAGGAGAGACCGAAAGGUGUAUCCGAUGGACAACAGGUUGAUAUUCCUGUACUAGAGUAUGUAGUGAUGGAGGGACGCAGUAGGCUAACUAAAGCAGACGAUUGGAAGAGUCUGUCUAAGCAGUGAGGUGUGAAUUGAGUCAAAUGCUUAAUUCUAUAACAUUGAGCUGUGAUGGGGAGCGAAGUUUAGUAGCGAAGUUAGUGACGUCACACUGCCAAGAAAAGCUUCUAGCGUUUAAACAUACUCUACCCGUACCGCAAACCGACACAGGUAGUCGAGGCGAGUAGCCUCAGGUGAGCGAGAGAACUCUCGUUAAGGAACUCGGCAAAAUGACCCCGUAACUUCGGGAGAAGGGGUGCUGACUUAAAGUCAGCCGCAGUGAAUAGGCCCAAGCAACUGUUUAUCAAAAACACAGCUCUCUGCUAAAUCGUAAGAUGAUGUAUAGGGGGUGACGCCUGCCCGGUGCUGGAAGGUUAAGAGGAGUGCUUAGCGUAAGCGAAGGUAUGAAUUGAAGCCCCAGUAAACGGCGGCCGUAACUAUAACGGUCCUAAGGUAGCGAAAUUCCUUGUCGGGUAAGUUCCGACCCGCACGAAAGGCGUAAUGAUUUGGGCACUGUCUCAACGAGAGACUCGGUGAAAUUUUAGUACCUGUGAAGAUGCAGGUUACCCGCGACAGGACGGAAAGACCCCAUGGAGCUUUACUGCAGUUUGAUAUUGAGUGUCUGUACCACAUGUACAGGAUAGGUAGGAGUCUAAGAGAUCGGGACGCCAGUUUCGAAGGAGACGCUGUUGGGAUACUACCCUUGUGUUAUGGCCACUCUAACCCAGAUAGGUGAUCCCUAUCGGAGACAGUGUCUGACGGGCAGUUUGACUGGGGCGGUCGCCUCCUAAAAGGUAACGGAGGCGCCCAAAGGUUCCCUCAGAAUGGUUGGAAAUCAUUCGCAGAGUGUAAAGGUAUAAGGGAGCUUGACUGCGAGAGCUACAACUCGAGCAGGGACGAAAGUCGGGCUUAGUGAUCCGGUGGUUCCGUAUGGAAGGGCCAUCGCUCAACGGAUAAAAGCUACCCUGGGGAUAACAGGCUUAUCUCCCCCAAGAGUUCACAUCGACGGGGAGGUUUGGCACCUCGAUGUCGGCUCGUCGCAUCCUGGGGCUGUAGUCGGUCCCAAGGGUUGGGCUGUUCGCCCAUUAAAGCGGCACGCGAGCUGGGUUCAGAACGUCGUGAGACAGUUCGGUCCCUAUCCGUCGCGGGCGUAGGAAAUUUGAGAGGAUCUGCUCCUAGUACGAGAGGACCAGAGUGGACUUACCGCUGGUGUACCAGUUGUCUUGCCAAAGGCAUCGCUGGGUAGCUAUGUAGGGAAGGGAUAAACGCUGAAAGCAUCUAAGUGUGAAACCCACCUCAAGAUGAGAUUUCCCAUGAUUAUAUAUCAGUAAGAGCCCUGAGAGAUGAUCAGGUAGAUAGGUUAGAAGUGGAAGUGUGGCGACACAUGUAGCGGACUAAUACUAAUAGCUCGAGGACUUAUCCAAA